rnacentral:rRNA from 1 species
CCUACGGGCGGCAGCAGUGGGGAAUAUUGGGCAAUGGGCGCAAGCCUGACCCAGCAACGCCGCGUGAAGGAAGAAGGCUUUCGGGUUGUAAACUUCUUUUCUCAGGGACGAAGAAAGUGACGGUACCUGAGGAAUAAGCCACGGCUAACUACGUGCCAGCAGCCGCGGUAAUACGUAGGUGGCAAGCGUUAUCCGGAUUGACUGGGUGUAAAGGGCGGGUAGGCGGGGAAGUAAGUCAGAUGUGAAAACCACGGGCUCAACCUGUAGCCUGCAUUUGAAACUGUUUUUCUUGAGUACUGGAGAGGCAGACGGAAGUCGUGGUGUAGCGGUGAAAUGCGUAGAUAUUAGGAAGAACUCCGAUGGCGAAGGCAGUCUACUGGACAGCAACUGACGCUGAGGCGCGAAAGCGUGGGGAGCAAACAGGAUGAGAUACCCUUGUAGUC